UACGGAGGGUGCAAGCGUUAAUCGGAAUUAUUGGGCGUAAAGAGCUCGUAGGCGGCUUGUCGCGUCGGAUGUGAAAGCCCGGGGCUUAACUCCGGGUCUGCAUUCGAUACGGGCAGGCUAGAGUUCGGUAGGGGAGAUCGGAAUUCCUGGUGUAGCGGUGAAAUGCGCAGAUAUCAGGAGGAACACCGGUGGCGAAGGCGGAUCUCUGGGCCGAUGCUGACGCUGAGGAGCGAAAGCGUGGGGAGCGAACAGG
rnacentral:rRNA from 1 species